rnacentral:rRNA from 1 species
ACUCCUACGGGAGGCAGCAGUAGGGAAUAUUGGGCAAUGGUCGGAAGACUGACCCAGCCAUGCCGCGUGCAGGAAGACGGCCUAUUGGUUGUAAACUGCUUUUAUCUGGGAAGAAAAGGCCAUGCGUGGCAAAUUGCCGGUACCAGAUGAAUAAGCACCGGCUAACUCCGUGCCAGCAGCCGCGGUAAUACGGAGGGGUGCAAGCGUUGUCCGGAUUUAUUGGGGUUUAAAGGGUGCGUAGGCGGCUGAUUAAGUCAGCGGUGAAAGACUCCGGCUCAACCGGAGCAGUGCCGUUGAUACUGGUUAGCUUGAGUGCUGCAGGGGUACAUGGAAUUGAUGGUGUAGCGGUGAAAUGCAUAGAUACCAUCAGGAACACCGAUAGCGAAGGCAUUGUACUGGGCAGCAACUGACGCUGAGGCACGAAAGCGUGGGGAUCGAACAGGAUUAGAUACCCUGGUAGGAUAGCG